rnacentral:rRNA from 1 species
AGGACGAACGCUGGCGGCGUGCUUAACACAUGCAAGUCGAGCGGAAAGGCCCUUCGGGGUACUCGAGCGGCGAACGGGUGAGUAACACGUGAGUAAUCUGCCCCUAGCUCUGGGAUAGCUCCGGGAAACCGGGAUUAAUACCAGAUACGACCACUUUAGACAUCUGCUGUGGUGGAAAGAAUUUCGGCUAGGGAUGAGCUCGCGGCCUAUCAGCUUGUUGGUGAGGUAACGGCUCACCAAGGCGACGACGGGUAGCCGGCCUGAGAGGGCGACCGGCCACACUGGGACUGAGACACGGCCCAGACUCCUACGGGAGGCAGCAGUGGGGAAUAUUGCGCAAUGGGCGAAAGCCUGACGCAGCGACGCCGCGUGGGGGAUGAAGGCCUUCGGGUUGUAACCCUUUCAGCAGGGACGAAGCGAAAGUGACGGUACCUGCAGAAGAAGCGCCGGCUAACUACGCGCCAGCAGCCGC